rnacentral:misc_RNA from 1 species
AAGUCGUAACAAGGUUUCCGUAGGUGAACCUGCGGAAGGAUCAUUAACACGUAUCCAACGUUAAACCCCCCGUGAACCUUCAGAGCGUUCUUGCCGCCCGUGACAAUCAGCAAUCCUGGUAAAUCAAGUGGGAAUAUCCGUUAUUGAUUCAGGACCUCUGCUGUCAUGUGUUAGGGAAACCAUAGCGGCAAUUGAGAGCUUUUAUCGUUAGUUUGGCGUCCUGGCCGGGCGAGUGAAAGUGUCGCUAGACGGUUUCUAGGGUAAGGCUUCGCCAUCCCUGGAGGCUCACCACGUAGCCGGCGGACAAACUACAGGGCUAUAUGCCCCCUAAUGACGACCAAGUUAAAUAGGGCCUCUGUCACAUAGCAAGUGCGCCGUGCCAGAGGAAAAGUACAACUGUUAACAAUGGAUAUCUUGGUUCUC